rnacentral:tRNA from 1 species
AAAAGUAGUGAAGUAAAUAUUACACUUAGUUUCGACCUAAGAUUAGAGGAAAACCUCCUUGCUUU